GACGAACGCUGGCGGCGUGCUUAAUACAUGCAAGUCGAGCGAGGUCCAUCUGGUGGCAACACCAGUGAAGGCCGAGCGGCGAACGGGUGAGUAACACGUGAGCAACCUGCCCCGAAGUCUGGAAUAACAUCGGGAAACCGGUGCUAAUACCGGAUCGCCCCACCUGACCGCAUGAUCGGGUGAGGAAAGAUUUAUCGCUUCGGGAGGGGCUCGCGGCCUAUCAGCUAGNGGUGGGGUAACGGCCUACCAAGGCGUCGACGGGUAGCUGGUCUGAGAGGACGACCAGCCACACUGGGACUGAGACACGGCCCAGACUCCUACGGGAGGCAGCAGUAGGGAAUCUUGCGCAAUGGGCGAAAGCCUGACGCAGCAACGCCGCGUGGGGGAUGACGGCCUCGGUGUAACCCGUU
rnacentral:rRNA from 1 species